rnacentral:rRNA from 1 species
AUUGAACGCUGGCGGCAUGCCUUACACAUGCAAGUCGAACGGUAACAGGUCUUCGGUUGCUGACGAGUGGCGAACGGGUGAGUAAUACAUCGGAACGUGCCCGAUCGUGGGGGAUAACGAGGCGAAAGCUUUGCUAAUACCGCAUACGAUCUACGGAUGAAAUCGGGGGAUCUUCGGACCUCGCGCGGACGGAGCGGCCGAUGGCCGAUUAGGUAGUUGGUGGGAUAAAAGCUUACCAAGCCGACGAUCUGUAGCUGGUCUGAGAGGAUGAUCAGCCACACUGGGACGGGGACACGGCCAAGACGCCUACGGGAGGCAGCAGUGGGGAAUUUUGGACAAUGGGCGAAAGCAUGAUCCAGCCAUGCCGCGUGUAGGAUGAAGGCCUUCGGGUUGUAAACUGCUUUUGUACGGAACGAAAAGCCUCUUUCUAAUAAAGAGGGGUCAUGACGGUACCGUAAGAAUAAGCACCGGCUAACUACGUG